AUGGCGGAGCCGGAGACGGAGACCACCAUCGUGGCCUCUUGUGUCUUCCAAUACAAAGUUGAUUACGAACAAAGCAAGCAGCUUCCCAUUGACAAGGCCAUCUAUUCCGACAUCGUCUCCGCCGGGGGACAUCUGUGGAGGAUUAGGUGCUACUCGCGCGGCGACACAGAGGACGACAAUGGCGAGUAUAUUUCUGUCUACCUCGAGCACAUGAGCAAAUCCACAAGCGUCGGGGCCAUCUUUGAUAUCUUCAUACUCGGCAGGGACGGCAAAUCACCUACGUGGGACACGUCCAAGAUAUCCAGGACACUCCAAACCUUUGAAAUCAAUGGAGAUAAAGACCAGCGCGACUGCUGGGGAUGGAGGUGGGAUCGGUUCAUCAAGGGAAGUAUUUUGGAGGAAGAUUACUUAAUAGGGGGAUACGUCACCUUUCUAUGUGCCAUCAUGGUCAUCGAUGACAGUCCUAUUCCCCUGCCACCUUCGGACAUUGGAACUCAUCUUGGCUGCCUGCUAGAUAACAAUGACGGGACAGAUGUGUCAUUCAUAGUCAAUGAUGAGACAUUCCAUGCUCACCGGGCAGUGCUUGCUGCCCGCUCACCGGUCUUUAGAGCAGAGCUCUUCGGUUCCAUGUCUGAGGCUACAAUACCAUGCAUCACGCUGCACGAGAUCACACCUGCAACAUUCAAAGUUAUGCUUCGGUUCAUUUACACGGAUGAAUGGCCUGGAGAAGACAGGCUUGAGGACUCCUCUGCUGAGAUGUUUCAGGAUCUACUCGCUGCGGCCGAUCGGUAUGCAUUGGAUCGACUGAAGGUUAUUUGUGCCCAGAAGUUAUGGGAGAAAGUGUCUGUAGAUACAGUUGCAACUACCUUAGGUUGGGCUGAAACCUACAACUGUCAGGAGUUGAAGAACAAGUGCAUUGACUUCUUUGUGGUAGAGGAAAAUUUCAGGACCAUGUUCACCGAUGGUUAUGCGCUACUGGUUCUGAAUUUCCCAUUAAUUACUGCCGAGCUCAAAAGGAGGGUUAGGGCAUAA
rnacentral:rRNA from 1 species